CCUACGGGGUGCUGCAGUAGGGAAUAUUGCUCAAUGGGGGAAACCCUGAAGCAGCAACGCCGCGUGGAGGAUGAAGGUUUUCGGAUUGUAAACUCCUUUUGUUAGAGAAGAUAAUGACGGUAUCUAACGAAUAAGCACCGGCUAACUCCGUGCCAGCAGCCGCGGUAAUACGGAGGGUGCAAGCGUUACUCGGAAUCACUGGGCGUAAAGGGCGCGUAGGCGGGAUAGCAAGUCAGAUGUGAAAUCCUAUGGCUUAACCAUAGAACUGCAGUUGAAACUGUUAUUCUAGAGUAUGGGAGAGGUAGGUGGAAUUCGUGGUGUAGGGGUAAAAUCCGUAGAGAUCAAGAGGAAUACUCAUUGCGAAGGCGACCUGCUAGAACAUAACUGACGCUGAUGCGCGAAAGCGUGGGGAGCAAACAGGAUUAGAUACCCGUGUAGUC
rnacentral:rRNA from 1 species